ACCUCUGACGAUUGCCAUUGAACAGGCGGAUCCCCCUAGGAAGAAUACAUGUUUUCUUUCAGGAAGUUCUCCUUAAGUUUCUUUCCUUGCUUCAUUUUUACAGGUUGUUUUCACUUGCCAUGGCGUUCUUCUGAAAACUUGACUUUUUCCAUGUCAUACUUCUUGCCCUGCUUUUAUGUUCAGCAGCUUUGGAGAGAGUGGGACUGUCAGAGGGAGACGGCACUUGAUUAAAUCUGCCUCCCGCUGAGCUUUGAUAAUUUCAAUAUUACAGAGCCGUCGAUCAAGACCGGGGUGGAAAAUGGAGGAAUGCUGAACCUACAGCAAAGCUUCGUUUACGUUUUCCAAGGUUUGUGUAUCUCCAAAGUUUGAAAAGCUGGAUUUCAUAAUCACACAGUGACUGCGCAUAAGGAUUUAAAGGGCCACCAUUGUGAUGUUCAGCAACCUCAUCUGCGCCAAUCUGCCAACCAAAACCACGACAGACGCCGUCGCUCGUCGCUAACCCCGAAAACAGCUCAAACUCACAAUCGUGUUGAUAGAAGAUGAACAAAUGCUUGCUGAGAAACAUGACAAAGCUGAAGCGUUCACAAGACUUCUUCGACUCUGGCCUUCGGUGAAGUGUUUCGAGGUCGUGUGUGAAAGAGACUAACAGAAUAAAGUGUAACAGCCUCUUGAAGGGCUCGGCUCCUCUUUACAGACAGAUGGACCAGAAAGUGAGAGAGAGGACACCUGCUGGUCCACACUGCUACCCCCCUUCCCGAUUCUUCUUUUCUCUUCUCUCUCUCUCUCUCUCUCUCUCUCUCUCUCUCUCUCUCUUUGCAUUAGAAUUCAGCUUCUCGUCUGACUGAGUGGGUUACUGAAGCGUGUCACAGUAAGAACCGGCGAAUGAUAAUGAACUGAACGUGUGCGAGAGGGUGGGGCCGAGGGUGGAGAUUGGAGAGGAUUCCGGUAAGCAGCUUCUCGCUGCGAGAGAAAGAGAGCGAGAGACGAGGCUGUCGACUGAAUCACCAACACCUCCGCCACUUCACCACCCCUUUCUCUCUCCGCUCGGCACGGGGGAGUGAGUGUGGGUCGGGACGCCCCGCUACGUUCCCUCUCCCCCUUCGCCGUCCUCCACCGGCAGACCCACUUCUCCAAAUGAAUCCAUUCAUCAUAUUCUCUUUUUGUCAUUUUCAUGUCAGCCUCCCUCUGCUGUAUUACGGUUAUCAUUAUUUUAUGUUCUCUCUCCCUUGUUCUUUUUUCAAGCUCUCCCACACGCCGCUAUCCCACUCGUUUUGUCACGGCCGAGGAAAAGAAAAUGAUCGGCCGGAGAGCCCGGAGAGGCAAAGACGAACGUUGGAACGAGAAGAGCUGUGUCCGGACGGGGAGCGAAAAAGUAAGAGGCGGCACUGGCAGAAGCCUCUUCGUUGGCCGGUCCCCUCCGUCUGAUGGAUUAUCCCGAGUGGAGAACUCCGAACAGGGACAAAAAGAGAAGAAAAGAGCAGCACUGAAAACACGUUUGGAGAGGGACUUUGUGAAGAAUUGAUCUUUUUCUUUUCUAAAAUAUAAAAUUCUGAUAUUUCUCCGUUCAACUUGCUCUCCUGUGUUUUAGUUUCUUCGUUCCGAACGCUCCCCCCGUCUUGUUCGGGACGUUUUGGGUGCUCAUUGUGAAGAAUUCUCUGGACUGUGUGCUGAAAAGCACUUUUCAAUCGAACGAAUUCCUUUCUAAACCCCUAAAAGAGCUUUUUUCUUCUUGUGCUCUCUCCUUUUGAGACCAAAAUAAUUGGAGCUGCAGACUCCACUGUAAUCGUGCCAUAGGAGCAAGUUGGGCCAAUCCGGACGCAACACCUGGAGCCAUUUUCUUCCCAAAUCACUUCAUUAUAUCGAGGGGGGCACCAACCACCCAAGCCUUGGGUCUUAGUGAUCCGGAUGUGCUGGAGAGAAAGUAAAUAAGAAAUGGAGAAAGAGAGACCUCCAAGAAGAUGAAAGCAGAGGUGAUAUUUUCAGAACAGAAAUGGGUGAAGAGAAAGUCGGCCAUAUCUGAGAAGACGUCACAAUGAAGGACAGAUUGGUUUCUGAAACAAUACGCUGAAAAGUUGCAGUGUAGACGCACAACACAGUUAGAAUAGAUGAAUUAUCUCUUCUGUUACUGCCAAGUUUUAAGAUAAAGCGUUGUGCGUUUUCCACUCACAGAAGAAACUCGGCCAAGUCUGGGAUCCUUUUUUUCUCACAGUAUUGUACUUUUUCCCAGCCUUUCUCCCCCCAUGUUAAGUCAUUCACUGGGGUACUUUGCACCCCCCCUCGCUGCUAGCUGAAAGCUGUUGAUCGCUAAUCCACGGCUAUUUCAUCAGAUCCUCUCACUGAUUUCUACAUUGAUUUGCCGUCUACUUCAGAACCUCUCCGGCUCCCUCCUCUCGCCUUUUCACUUUCCUUCAUCCACUUCUCGCUCUCUCUCCCCCUCCCUCUCUCUCUCUCCCUCCCUCCCUCUCUCUCUCUCGCCCUGCCUCAUUGUCUCUGUGUGCGGCAACGGUGCCUCUGGAAGCCAGUCUGUUUCACCGCUCGCCCGAUAGAGGAAGGA